CACGCCGUAAACGAUGAGUGUUAGGUGCCUGGAAUAAUUUGGGUACCGCAGCUAACGCAUUAAACACUCCGCCUGGGGAGUACGCACGCAAGUGUGAAACUCAAAGGAAUUGACGGGGACCCGCACAAGCAGCGGAGCAUGUGGUUUAAUUCGAAGCAACGCGAAGAACCUUACCAAGUCUUGACAUAUUUCGGAGGGAUUUAGAGAUAAAUUCUUAUGACUUCGGUCAACUGAAAUACAGGUGG
rnacentral:rRNA from 1 species